UUUAACAUUGAUAAAUAACGUAUUAGUGGAUAUCUAAAAAAACUAAUCAGACAUAAGUAUGAUACGAAAUGUUUUCUAGAACUUUUAUGUUUGGAAUUAAAACGUGAUGCGUACACGUAUGUUAUCCAACAGGUUUGUUACAACCGUGCCAAAUUUGUAAUUGCGCGUGCCUAUAAGUGGUAUUUUUUUAUAUCAUCCGUACAUUCUGUGUGAAAAGUUGAGCGAGCGGCGCGCUCGCUGCCGGCACCAUUGCGUCCCCGUGGAGCACGGCCGCCGGCGCGCCCGACACCAAUGGCUCGGGCGGCGCCGACGCCAAGCACCUCGACGUUGGGGAUGCCAGCGACGAUGAAAAGGACAUGUCGGCCGCGGACGCGAGGGAGUAUGGAGUCC
rnacentral:misc_RNA from 1 species